CAUUGUUUGGAUAACCAUAAAAAAAUGUGUUCACUUUUUAGGGGUGAGAUGCUAAACCCUUCCACCAUCUACAUCCAAAUUCUGAACUCGCAUUCCCGCGUUUUUGUUUAAACUUUCACUCUCGUCAAAACCUAAUUCCACACACAAAAAUCUCUUUCACAAAAUCAUCAUCUUCUUCUUCGUCACUUCACUCUCGAAAUUCAGUGAAAGCGAUAGAGAGAGAGAGAUUUGAUUCGAAGAAGAAGAAAAUGUCGAAGCCGAAAUCAUUUCAAGGCAUAAACGUGUUCAUGUCGCGUAACCUUGUUCCGCCUGAAGUCUUCGCUACGCUUCACGAUGCCGUAAAAGAUAACGGUGCUCAAAUUCACCUCUGUUGUGAUCCCUCUCGUAAUGGUCCUAAUGAUUAUCACAUAAUUUCGUGUAGUAAACAUGAGAAAUUUGAAGAUCUUAAAUCUAAGGGAUGUAAAAUGCUUGGUCCUAGAUGUGUUCUUCAGUGUGCUAAAGAAGGAAGACCUCUGCCUAAACAAGGCUUCACAUGUUGCUUUACUAUGGAUGGUGUCAAAAUCCUCGCUUCUGGCUUUGAAAUGGAGGAGAGGGUUAAGAUAGAAGAAUUAGUGACUGAAAUGGGGGGAGCUCUACAUAAACCGACGUCAGAUUUGAACUUUGUCAUCGUGAAAAAUGUUUUGGCUCAAAAGUACAAGUGGGCUUUGAAUGUCCUGAAGAAACCAAUAGUUACUUAUGAAUGGUUAAAGCAAUGCUCGGAUGAGCAUCGUGUUGUACCUCAAGAGUCAUAUAAGGUUCUUCCUUUCUCUGGGUUAAGGAUCUGUGUGACUGGAUUCCCAGCAGAUAAGCGGAAAGAGAUGGAAAAGAUUAUUUUACAAAAUGGUGGAAAAUACUUUGCAGAAUUGACAAAGAAGUGCACACAUUUGAUUUCUGAUAUUCCUGAAGGUGAUAAGUAUAAGGUGGCAAAACGUUGGGGCCACAUUCAUAUUGUCACAAUGAAAUGGUUUGAUCAAUCUGUUGCUCGAAGAGCAUGUUUGAAUGAGGAGUCCUACCCUGUUCAGAGUGGAUCUUUGUCUUCGCGUAAGGUGACUAGGGACUUAACAGCGCAACAUAGCCAGGAAAAGGAUAUUGGGAAAAUGCAAUCUGGCUCAUCCUCAAGAGCUGCAGAUUCAAAUAUGCUAGUUUCUGAUUGUACCGAGUCUAUGGAUAUAGAUCCAGAAGCUACACAGUCAGAACAUAUGUCGUCUGUUUCAAAUGUUCCAUUAUUUGUUAAAGAGGCAGAUGCUGAAGCAUGUCCAUUACAGACCAGCAAUCAAUUGAACUUAGAUGGUGCUGUUGCCAAUGAUUCUGAAUCUGACGACAAUGACCUGUACUUAGCAGAGUGCAGAAUAUCACUUGUUGGUUUUGAAGCUUCUGAAAUGCGUAAGCUAGUUAAUAUGGUGCGUAAAGGUGGAGGCUCCCGAUACAUGUCUUUAAAUGAUAAGUUGACCCACAUAGUAAUUGGGAAUCCUACAGAAAUGGAAAAGAAGGAUGUAAGGAGUAUUGCUGCACAAAGUGUCAUUUUUGUUGUUAAAACCUCAUGGCUGGAAGAUUGUGACCGUCAAAAGAGACAAGUCCCUGUUCUAGGACGUCACACUGCUAAUGAUCUUGUUCUUCCAAAAGUAAAAGGAGCAGUUACUGGCAUUGUGCCUAUGGAUCAAAGUAAAAGCUCAAGCUUUCGCCAAAGCUUCCAAACUGAUAAGGUGGUGGGUAUUAAGGAAUUUGGAGUAAUAAUGGCAGAAUCUUUGGAGAAAAACAAACAAGAGAAACACGAUAUGGGUAUGAAUGUUGUGACAUUCGAUAAAGCAUCGGGUAGAACUACGCCACAAACUCAACUUCCUGAUAAAAAAUUGAGGGGACAAAAGAUGACACAACGUGAUUCUAAUGUACAUGUGAAGUCAACAAAUGUUUUCAAAGGGAAAACAUUUUGUUUCUCAAAUUUAUUUCCUGAAGAAAGGAGAGCUGAGAUUGUUCAGUGGAUAAGUCAAGGGGGAGGAGAGAUAAUAAGUGGGCAAACAAAACAAAGUAUCCACUAUACUAUUGAAUGCCAUGGUAAACCCAAGUCGACAGGUGAUUAUGGAAGUACUUAUAUUUCCAGUCACUGGAUACGAUCUUGUUUGGAGGAUGGAUCCUUGCUGGAUGUUGACAGUCAUAUUCUUUAUUCUCCACUUCCCUGCCGCGUUCCCUUGCCUGGUUUUGAAAAUCUCCGGUUUUGUGUUUCACAAUAUGAGGAGAAAGACAGAAUUCUACUUUGGAACUUGUGUAAAGUUCUAGGAGCUAAAUUUGCAGAUAAGUUGACUAAGAAGGUCACCCAUUUAUUGUGUAAAUUUACCAAUGGGCCCAAGUAUGAGGCUUCUUGUAAGUGGGGGAUCCGAUCAGUUACAUCUGAGUGGAUAUUUGAAUGUGUCAAACAGAAUGGAGUUAUUGCCAUGGAUCAAUUUUUGCCCAAAGAAGUCACUACUCAAGACCGAGAGGCAGGAGCUUGCACAGUGAGUCAAUUUCCUACCCAGGCUGUUCAAAUGAUAAAUGACAUGCCGUCCCAGUUUCCAAGUCAAUCACAAAGUUCGAGACACACGGCAAAUAAAAAUGUUGACAAUCAUAGGACUCAUUCUAAAAUAUCAAGCAUUAAUAGCAAAAAGGCAAGGCUCAUGGAAGAACCUAGCCUGUAUAAUAAGGCACCUUCUACAGUAAAUUCAGGUAUUCAUGUCUCUGACAUGAAUUUUUCUAAAGCCAAUAUGCUCAAGGAUGCUCCGGAGGCUGUUGAAAUGAUAAAUGACACACCGCCCCAGUUUCCAAGUCAAUUACAAAGCAUGAGAAACAUGGCAGAUAAAAAUGUGGAUAGUGGCGAUGCCAAUCACGGGACUCAUUCUAAAAUAUCAAGCAUUAAUAGCAUAAAGUCUAGGCUGGUGGAAGAACCUGGCAUGUAUAAUAAGGCACCUUCUACAGUAAAUUUAGGUAUUCAUGUCUCUGACUUGAAUAUUUCUGAAGACAAUAUGCUCAAAGAUGACCGGGAGGCAACCCAUGCAGUUCCCGAUGUUGCUGCUGCAAUUGAGGACUUGUUAGAGCAGACAAGCAAGAUGCAUGAUCAGAGAUCCCCAGGGCAUACAGGGUGUGAGAGAAGUAUUUACACAUCUGAUUGUCCAGUCAUUGGUGAAGACAAUCCAAAUCCUCGUACUGUCUUUGGAUUAUCGAAGCAUUGGUUAAACAGAAUUGGAAGCAAUGAUGAUAAUGGUGAGACUUCUAAAGAACGAAAAGUGGGAAUGUAUGAUGCUUUUAGUGAAAGCCAAACAGAAUCUCAGAUCGUUGGUUAUGAAGAAGAUUUGUCUGGAAGGCAAAUGCUUAUAGAUAGAGUUCUAACUCGAAGUAGCAUGCAGUGAAAUACAACCCUAUAUGAAAGACAGUAGAACAGUUUCCGUAUUUGAUAGUUCAAUGGCGUAUCUGAACUUACAAGUCAAUGCACAAGAAUGUGUCUUGUCUUUCAUGACCAGCAUAUGAUACAAUUAGACAGAAAGUUAAGUAGCAGGGGUGUUCAUAUCGAUUCUUUGUAACUAGCAAAUGAAAAUAAGUCUCAGCCAAGUUUAAACUCAAUCACGUCUACCGUGUACAAUUUUAGCAGACUGUCAAGUAAAUUGCAGAGUAGCUCGCUUUGUUAUUUUAGUGGGAGGGGCGGAAGAAAAGGGGAUUUCCAUGAGUUUGAAGGAACAAUUCUGAUUGGAUAAGCAGGAUGCUUUUGGGAAAUUUGAAAUCAUGAUAUUUGUGCUGAUACAUGCAAUUGCUUCUCAGCAAUAGUCAGUGUUCUAGACUAUCGAAUGCUUCAGUGUUUAGGUAGAAGCCCAGAAAUAGUGUGUCCCAGAGCGGAUCUUGAGAUUUUCAACGUAAUGUACUAUUUUGUUUAGCUUUGACCUCUAAGAUAUGUUGGCCUUAUGUUGUGCUUAAUGCAUGGAAUGUUUACUGGUAAAAGAUCCCAGCGAAUGAAUAAAAAUAUCAAAUUCUGAACAGAAUACGAGAGUAACCGACAGGAAUAUUGCAAGA